rnacentral:rRNA from 1 species
UACAGAGGGGGCAAGCGUUGUUCGGAAUUACUGGGCGUAAAGGGCGCGUAGGCGGCCUUCUAAGUCGAACGUGAAAUCCCCGGGCUCAACCCGGGAACUGCGUCCGAUACUGGAAGGCUUGAAUCCGGGAGAGGGAUGCGGAAUUCCAGGUGUAGCGGUGAAAUGCGUAGAUAUCUGGAGGAACACCGGUGGCGAAGGCGGGUCUCUGGGCCGAUACUGACGCUGAGGAGCGAAAGCGUGGGGAGCAAACAGG